rnacentral:rRNA from 1 species
UACGGAGGGUGCGAGCGUUGUCCGGAAUCACUGGGCGUAAAGGGCGCGUAGGCGGCGCGGAUAGUCGGCGGUGAAAGCCCGGAGCUCAACUCCGGGUCGGCCGUCGAUACUUCCGGGCUUGAGCACUGUAGGGGCAGAUGGAAUUCCGGGUGUAGCGGUGGAAUGCGUAGAGAUCCGGAAGAACACCGGUGGCGAAGGCGGCCUGCUGUGCAGUAGCUGACGCUGAGGCGCAACAGCGUGGGGAGCAAACAGG